rnacentral:tRNA from 1 species
AUGAAUGAUGCAAAAGGUUAAGCUCUCAGUUGCUAACUGAAAGGUUGGAGGUUCAAGUCCUCCCAGAGAUG